GAUGAACGCUGGCGGCGUGCUUAAUACAUGCAAGUCGAACGAGGUGCUUUUGUAGCAAUACGGAAGUAUCCUAGUGGCGAACGGGUGAGUAACGCGUUGGUGACCUACCCCGAAGUGUGGGAUAACAGUCCGAAAGGAUUGCUAAUACCGCAUGUGGUCCCCGGAUUUAGAAACCGGUGACUAAAGCAGCAAUGCGCUUUGGGAGGGACCUGCGUCCCAUCAGCUAGUUGGUGAGGUAACGGCUCACCAAGGCGUCGACGGGUAAGGGACCUGAGAGGGUGGUCCCUCACAAUGGCACUGAAACACGGGCCAUACACCUACGGGUGGCAGCAGUAGGGAAUAUUGGGCAAUGGGCGAAAGCCUGACCCAGCAACGCCGCGUGUACGAUGAAGGCCUUCGGGUCGUAAAGUACUUUUCUGGGAGAUGAGAAAGGACAGUAUCCCAGGAAUAAGCUUCGGCUAACUACGUGCCAGCCGCCGCUGUAACAC
rnacentral:rRNA from 1 species